rnacentral:rRNA from 1 species
AUUGAACGCUGGCGGCAGGCCUAACACAUGCAAGUCGAACGAGUGGCGGACGGGUGAGUAAUGUCUGGGAAACUGCCCGAUGGAGGGGGAUAACUACUGGAAACGGUAGCUAAUACCGCAUACCAUCGGAUGUGCCCAGAUGGGGUUAGCUAGUGGGUGGGGUAACGGCUCACCUAGGCGACGAUCCCUAGCUGGUCUGAGAGGAUGACAAGCCACACUGGAACUGAGACAGGGUCCAGACUCCUACGGAGGGCACUGGUGGGGAAUAUUGCACAAUGGGCGCAAGCCUGAUGCGGCCAUGCCGCGUGGAUGAAGAAGGCCUUCGGGUUGUAAAGUACUUUCAGCGAGGAGGCGUUACUCGCAGAAGAAGCGCCGGCUAACUCCGUGCCAGCAGCCGCGGUAAUAC